CUGGGUAAAUCCGUCUUGAGACAAACAAUAACAACAAAGGCAGCUAGUUCUUGAUCACCACUUCGUUCCCAACAACAAAAAGACUUCUUUUUCUCUCCCUUUUGUUCUCCAAACCCCAUUUCUUUAAACUCUUUGAAUUGGGGAUUUUCUUGAUUUUUUUUUGAGAAAAAGACAAUCUUUUUCUGUAUUUGGACUUUUUUUCUUUAUAAGGG
rnacentral:misc_RNA from 1 species